rnacentral:rRNA from 1 species
UGAAGAGUUUGAUCAUGGCUCAGAUUGAACGCUGGCGGCAGGCCUAACACAUGCAAGUCGAACGGUAACAGGAAGCAGCUUGCUGCUUUGCUGACGAGUGGCGGACGGGUGAGUAAUGUCUGGGAAACUGCCUGAUGGAGGGGGAUAACUACUGGAAACGGUGGCUAAUACCGCAUAACGUCGCAAGACCAAAGAGGGGGACCUUCGGGCCUCUUGCCAUCAGAUGUGCCCAGAUGGGAUUAGCUUGUUGGUGAGGUAACGGCUCACCAAGGCGACGAUCCCUAGCUGGUCUGAGAGGAUGACCAGCCACACUGGAACUGAGACACGGUCCAGACUCCUACGGGAGGCAGCAGUGGGGAAUAUUGCACAAUGGGCGCAAGCCUGAUGCAGCCAUGCCGCGUGUAUGAAGAAGGCCUUCGGGUUGUAAAGUACUUUCAGCGGGGAGGAAGGUGUUGUGGUUAAUAACCGCAGCAAUUGACGUUACCCGCAGAAGAAGCACCGGCUAACUCCGUGCCAGCAGCCGCGGUAAUACGGAGGGUG